GGGGAACUGGGGAACAGGGGUAUUUUUGUCCAAGUAUAAUCUACAAUGUAUUCUCCAAAAUCUCUCCGCUCCAUUUCCUCUUGACUGCUCCUUCUCCGGCGUCGUCUUCAACUACAACCGUCGUCAAUUCUCACCACCACCACCACCCCCAUCGCUCAUCGAUUCUCACACUAUGUAGCAAUUGAGCUGGAAGAUCAGCAUCCAUGGCGGCUUCUUCAGAUCGCGGAAACUUCAUCUAUCUCGCCAAACUCGUUGAACGCCACGACAGAAACUCUUAAGACAAAAAUUGUAGCGAUGAACUGAAGAUGGGAUGGAUGGAAGCUUAGGCAAGAAGCGAAUCAGCGAAUUAUGCCGAUUAUUCAGGAGAAAGUUUGGACUCAUGGUCGGAAACAUGUUUGAGGUUGGAAGCAGAUGUAGGGUUGAGUUUUAUUGUGAAAAUGUACACAUAUUGAGGUUAAAUCUUGAUCUUUUUAUUCUUGUUCCUGCAUUUUUUUAUUUUGUUAUUAUAAAGACCCAAAAAAUCCAUUUUUUAGUGUUUGUAUAAACAGAUUAUGAUCAUCACUCUCCAUUUUUAGUGUUUGUAUAAACUGACAAAAAAAUAUAUUUUUGUAAUUUUUUAAUCUUUUUUGUAA
rnacentral:lncRNA from 1 species